rnacentral:rRNA from 1 species
AUUGAACGCUGGCGGCAUGCCUUACACAUGCAAGUCGAACGGUAACAGGUCUUCGGAUGCUGACGAGUGGCGAACGGGUGAGUAAUACAUCGGAACGUGCCCGAUCGUGGGGGAUAACGGAGCGAAAGCUUUGCUAAUACCGCAUACGAUCUACGGAUGAAAGCAGGGGACCGCAAGGCCUUGCGCGGACGGAGCGGCCGAUGGCAGAUUAGGUAGUUGGUGGGAUAAAAGCUUACCAAGCCGACGAUCUGUAGCUGGUCUGAGAGGACGACCAGCCACACUGGGACGGGGACACGGCCCAGACUCCUACGGGAGGCAGCAGUGGGGAAUUUUGGACAAUGGGCGCAAGCCUGAUCCAGCCAUGCCGCGUGCAGGAUGAAGGCCUUCGGGUUGUAAACUGCCUUUGUACGGAACGAAAAGACUCUUUCUAAUAAAGAGGGUCCAUGACGGUACCGUAAGAAUAAGCACCGGCUAACUACGUGCCAGCAGCCGCCGCAGUAA